rnacentral:precursor_RNA from 1 species
CGCUAUAUAAGUAUCAGUUUCUGUACUUUAUUGGAGACGCGUGUGGCGCACACACAUACACGACUCACGUUGUCACACAAUUGAGAUCUGGUUGAUUCUGCCAGUAGUCAUAUGCUUGUUUCAAGGACUUAGCCAUGCAU